UAAACCUGUCAUUUUCCCAACCAGUCCGUACUUAGGUUGACGCGUUAUCGUGAGGAUAAAAUAGUGUUGUGACUAAGUGCUGGAGUUAAAGUAGUUCUAAGACCAGAAGCAGAGUAAGACUCAUAAAAUAGUAGAAAAAGAAAAAAGAAAAUCGCUGUUACUUAAAUCGAUGCUGAAGUUUGUGAUCCAGCAUCAAGCAAAAUAUCCACCAGCACCACAGAGUACAUUCUGAUAUACUGUAAACCAGCACGUUCUCAACAGCUGAGCGAAGCCUGAUUAAAUGUGACGUCAUCAGCAACAUGCUGACCAGCCAGCGGAUAUUUGUGACAUUACUUACCAUGAUGACAUUUCUUCAGCUCCUAUCAGCAAAUGAACUUACACCAACACACCUUGACAGAGGUCCUUCGUGGCAAGAUGUGGCUAAUUCCUUCAAGGGUUUUGGUCAAGGUGUAAGUAAUACAUGGAAUUCAAUUUUCAAUUGGUUUGAAAAACAUUCAAACACACAAAAAUACACAUUUGGGGCACCAUAAAUUCAAAAUAUCUCGUUUCAAAUAAGUAUUGAUCAUCGAUUUGGUCGAUACCUCGGAGAAUAAUACUUAUUAAAUCUGUGAAAGUACUAAAUAGCCUCUUUUUAAUCUUAUUGUAAAUUGUACCUUAUACACGAAUUUUUUGUAUUAAAGUAUUAUGUUUUAAGAUA